GGAUGUGAGCACAAGCUGGCUGUGACAUCUGUCACCCACUGAUCUUGAGGGUGGGUUUGGGCUGAUCUGGCUUGCAAGGCUAAGGCCCCUUCCUCCCUCACAUGCUACCCAAGUCCCUCCUGAGGCUUCCUGGUCAAGGAGGAUCACUUGUCCACACAGAACCUGCCUUGGUUCUUCAACCAAGGGCAUAGAAAUAGCUGUGCUUCCCUGCUAGAGCCUCCAAACAACCCUCAGCUCCAUUUGUGGGAGAAUGCAGGGUAGUCAAGCAUCCAAGGCUGCAAACUUACCCUAAUGAGGUCCUGCAUGUGGCAGUCAUUCUCCUUUU
rnacentral:snRNA from 1 species